AUUAAUCUUAAGACAAUAGAAGUAUAUAAAUAUCAUGACCAGCCUAUGGCACCAUUUAUAUCAGGAGCAAUCACGAUGCAAACUUAUGCGUUCCUAGUCUUCUUGGUGUGGGCACUCAUCGCCAUGGUGGUAAUGGGAGCCAGCGAAGGUCCAAAACUGGAGGAUCUAGUCAGCACUGCCGACGAUGACGUCUUAUUGGCUGUGGAUUCUCAACAUGCACCAGAAAUGUGGAGGCACCCUUAUGGACACACCAUAAUGUAUUAAUGAAAGAAUUAAA
rnacentral:lncRNA from 1 species